rnacentral:snRNA from 1 species
AUGCUGCUUCGGCAGCACAUAUACUAAAAUUGGAAUGAUAUAGAGAAGAUUAGCCUGGCCCCUGCUGCAAGGAUGACAUGCAAAUCUGAGAAGCAUUCCUUAUUAAA